rnacentral:rRNA from 1 species
GACGAACGCUGGCGGCGUGCCUAAUACAUGCAAGUAGAACGCUGAAGGAGGAGCUUGCUUCUCUGGAUGAGUUGCGAACGGGUGAGUAACGCGUAGGUAACCUGCCUGGUAGCGGGGGAUAACUAUUGGAAACGAUAGCUAAUACCGCAUAAGAGUAGAUGUCGCAUGACAUUUGCUUAAAAGGUGCAAUUGCAUCACUACCAGAUGGACCUGCGUUGUAUUAGCUAGUUGGUGAGGUAACGGCUCACCAAGGCAACGAUACAUAGCCGACCUGAGAGGGUGAUCGGCCACACUGGGACUGAGACACGGCCCAGACUCCUACGGGAGGCAGCAGUAGGGAAUCUUCGGCAAUGGACGGAAGUCUGACCGAGCAACGCCGCGUGAGUGAAGAAGGUUUUCGGAUCGUAAAGCUCUGUUGUAAGAGAAGAACGAGUGUGAGAGUGGAAAGUUCACACUGUGACGGUAUCUGACCAGAAAGGGACGGCUAACUAC